GUUAGGGUGAUCUGGCUACAGCAUCUACCAUCCCACUGGUGGUCGGACUUGAUUCAGCUAAUCUGGCUGGCUAGGUGUCCCCUUCCUCUCUCUUACCACCCCAUUUAGAUAUCUUCCCAAGCUGCACACUUGGUUGAAGAGGAUGACCUUCCCCAAUAGAGGAGGACCAGGCCAUUCUUCUGUCAAAGGUAUAUAAGUAGAUGUACUCCCCUACUAGAACCUCCAAAGAAGCUCUUGAGGUCAAUUGGCACAAAAAAUAUAGUUGGAUAGGUACAAGCAUAUUUGAUAACACAACAAAGUAACUACAACCAACCAUAAGUUAGGGUACACUU
ensembl:misc_RNA 7SK 7SK RNA